GACAGAGGGUGCAAACGUUGUUCGGAAUUACUGGGCGUAAAGCGCGUGUAGGCGGUAAGGCAAGUCGGGUGUGAAAGCCCCGGGCUCAACCUGGGAAGUGCAUUCGAUACUGCCAAACUAGAGUCCCGGAGAGGAUGGUGGAACUCUCGGUGUAGAGGUGAAAUUCGUAGAUAUCGAGAAGAACACCGGUGGCGAAGGCGGCCAUCUGGACGGUGACUGACGCUGAGACGCGAAAGCGUGGGGAGCAAACAGG
rnacentral:rRNA from 1 species